rnacentral:rRNA from 1 species
UACGGAGGGGGCUAGCGUUGUUCGGAAUUACUGGGCGUAAAGCGCACGUAGGCGGCUUUGUAAGUUAGAGGUGAAAGCCCAGGGCUUAACCCUGGAAUUGCCUUUGAUACUGGGACGCUUGAGUAUGGUAGAGGUUGGUGGAACUGCGAGUGUAGAGGUGAAAUUCGUAGAUAUUCGCAAGAACACCGGUGGCGAAGGCGGCCAACUGGACCAUUACUGACGCUGAGGCGCGAAAGCGUGGGGAGCAAACAGG